rnacentral:misc_RNA from 1 species
GAUGAAGAACGUAGCGAAAUGCGAUGAGUAAUGCGAAUUGCAGAAUUCAGUGAAUCAUCGAAUCUUUGAACGCACAUUGCGCCCGCUAGUAUUCUGGCGGGCAUGCCUGUCUGAGCGUCAUUUCAACCCUCGCCCCCGGCUUUUGCUGGGAGCGGUGUUGGGGAUCGGCCGCCCGUCACUGGGAGGCCGGCCCCGAAAUAGAGUGGCGACCACGCCGUGUGCUCCUCUGCGUAGUAGUAAAUCACCUCGCAGGCGGACAGCGGUGCGGCCUGCCGUAAAACCCCCAACUCUUUCUGGUUGACCUCAGAUCAGGUAGGAAUACCCGCUGAACUUAAGCAUAUCAAUAAGCGGAGGA